CCCCGCACAAGCGGUGGAGCAUGUGGUUUAAUUCGAUGAUACGCGAGGAACCUUACCUGGGCUCAAAUGUAUGGUUGACGUAUUCUGAAAGGGAUACUUCUUCGGACAAUAUACAAGGUGCUGCAUGGUUGUCGUCAGCUCGUGCCGUGAGGUGUCGGGUUAAGUCCCAUAACGAGCGCAACCCCUAUCAUUAGUUGCCAUCAGGUCAAGCUGGGGACUCUAAUGAAACUGCCUACGCAAGUAGUGAGGAAGUGGGGAUGACGUCAAAUCAGCACGGCCCUUACGUCCAGGGCGACACACGUGCUACAAUGGCCGGCACAGCGGGAAGCGAGGCAGUGAUGCCAAGCGGAUCCCUUAAAGCCGGUCUCAGUUCGGAUUGAAGUCUGCAACUCGACUUCAUGAAGCUGGAAUCGCUAGUAAUCGCAGAUCAGCCAAGCUGCGGUGAAUACGUUCCCGGGCCUU
rnacentral:rRNA from 1 species